rnacentral:tRNA from 1 species
GCCUGGCUGGCUCAGUUGGUAGAGCAUGAAACUCUUGAUCUUGGGGUUGUGAGUUUGAACCCCACAUUGGGUA